GUUUUACUCUGUUUUUGUUUCAAAAUUAAGUUUUCUUUUUUAAUUAAACAAUAAGUAUGUAAAAUAUAAAAUUACAAAAAUGAUCCACCUUCGCGUUUUCUAUAUUUAGGAAUAGGUACUUUUUGACGGAGAGAAAGAAGUACAACGUACAAGUCGCCUCAGUACAGACAAUAUGUAAAUGUGUUGUGCUUGGUGCAGCAGUGUAUGGGGAGUGUAUCUGUUUGAGUAUCUGUAGCAAAAAUCCAAUUGCAAAAACAAAAACAAGAAGAAAAAGUUCGCAUUUCGCUUUUGUGUUUCGUGUUGAGUUGAGGUUGACAUGACACCACUAUGAGGAGAGGAUGGUGUGUAAUGAAACGCAAACGGCAAACGAGUAACGAACAGGAACGACGAGAAAGAAUAAAAAAGAAAAGACUUUCUCCAAAAUGAUGGUUGCCGUUGGAUGCAAUUUUUCUUUUUUGAAGCGAAUAUUUAAAGAAGGGGAAAUAGAGGGAAUUAAAUUGCUGAUAUGACUACACAUCUGUACAUGGACAUUCAUAUAUAAUAUACAGAUGCAUAUGUAUGUAUAUAUGGUUAGUUUUAUAUCAUGAAGUACGAUUUUAAAUGAAGAUUGGAGAUGGAUGCAUUUUUAUGUCGGCGAAGCUGCCAUAAGUUGUACUUGCUCGGAUCAGUGUUGUUAUAAAAGCUAAUUUAUUUUUAUUUUAAAUACCUUUAAUAAACCGAAAUCAUUGAAA